rnacentral:rRNA from 1 species
UACAGGGGGUGCAAACGUUGCUCGGAAUUAUUGGGCGUAAAGCGCGCGUAGGCGGUUACUUAAGUCGGAUGUGAAAGCCCUCGGCUCAACUGAGGAAGUGCAUCCGAAACUGAGUAGCUAGAGUACGGAAGAGGGUCGCGGAAUUCCCGGUGUAGAGGUGAAAUUCGUAGAUAUGCGGAGGAACACCGAUGGCGAAGGCAAUCCCCUGGGCCUGCACUGACGCUCAUGCACGAAAGCGUGGGGAGCAAACAGG